rnacentral:snoRNA from 1 species
GCAGAAUCAAAAUUAGUGUUUUACAAAAUUUGUGUUACAAGCCAAAUAAGAGAAUUACAUGCCAGGUCUGUAAAUCUUGGUAGAGACAGAGUUAUUUGCAUCUACUGUAAGCCAUGUGCAGACCAGCAAGCAUUUUCCUCCUAGGAACCACCUCACUCAGUUGAGGUGACUCUUCAGUUGCCACGGAGAAGUUAGAAACUGGAAUGGAAGCAGAUUCAAGUUACCAAGGUCACUGGUCUCAAAGGACUUGGCUAUGUCAUAGCCACUGACAGAUGAAGUGUGUAUAUUUGGUGAUCUGAUGGCU